GUGUAUUUAUUCCAAACAGAGACUGAGAGGUGACAGCUUCGAGUCUCAUCGGGAAGGAAACACCUCGCAAGCCAAGCACAAAGCGGAUGCAGCAGAUGGGAACAGUGUCACUGAACCCUAUCAAUGGCAGAGCACAAGAACAUGAAUUUCUGCUGCUGGGGAGGCAGUGAAAUGAAUCCUGACCCACUGUUGGUGCUAGACUUCAAGAGGAUUUAAUCAUGCUUCCGGUGUCCAUGGGCAGAUGAACAUACAGGAAGACCCCAUGAAGGAUUCACAUUCAUGACAUGGUUUUGGUCAUGCUUUGCCAGAGUCACCAUCUGAGGACUUACUGGAGGUCUUAUAAAUAAUUGUAGUUUCUUGCACAACAUUGCUUCUAACCAAGGACCCCAUGUUAAAUAAUGGGUUAUAGCAGAUGAGAAUCACAGGUCUUACUGUGUGAUGCCCAACACCCAGAAGCAGCUGGCCUUACAGAAUAGUAGAAUGACCUAUUAUACUUCACUCAUGCCUCCAGUUAAAUAAAUGCUUUCAAUAUAAAGUGCUGCCUGUAAGAUUAAGAAUAUUCUUUGAACCAGCUCAAUAUAUGAUGCAGUUCUUCCUUUAGCCAGAGUACAUGAGUCAGGGAACUAAGCAGUAGAAUUGAAGAUGGAACACCUCACAAAUA